UAGGGAAUCUUCCGCAAUGGACGAAAGUCUGACGGAGCAACGCCGCGUGAGUGAUGAAGGCUUUCGGGUCGUAAAACUCUGUUGUUAGGGAAGAACAAGUGCUAGUUGAAUAAGCUGGCACCUUGACGGUACCUAACCAGAAAGCCACGGCUAACUACGUACCAGCAGCCGCGGUCAUACGUAGGUGGCAAGCGUUAUCCGGAAUUAUUGGGCGUAAAGCGCGCGCAGGUGGUUUCUUAAGUCUGAUGUGAAAGCCCACGGCUCAACCGGUGAGGGUCAUUGGAAACUGGGAGACGUGAGUGCAGAAGAGGAAAGUGGAAUUCAAUGUGGAGCGGUGAAAUGCGUAGAGAUAUGGAGGAACACCAGGGGCGAAGGCGACUUUCUGGUCUGUAACUGACACUGAGGCGCGAAAGCGUGGGGAGCAAACA
rnacentral:rRNA from 1 species